UGGCUCGGGCCCGAUGGUUGGCGGCAAGAUGGAGCCCGAGAACAAGUACCUGCCCGAGCUGAUGGCCGAGAAGGACAGCCUGGACCCGUCCUUCACACACGCCAUGCAGCUUCUCACCGCAGAAAUUGAAAAAAUUCAGAAGGGUGAGACAACAAAGAAGGAUGAGGAAGAGAACUACCUGGAUUUAUUUUCCCACAAGAAUAUGAAACUGAAAGAACGAGUUCUGAUCCCUGUCAAACAGUACCCCAAGUUCAACUUUGUUGGGAAGAUUUUGGGACCCCAAGGCAACACCAUUAAAAGACUUCAGGAAGAAACUGGUGCUAAAAUCUCUGUGCUGGGGAAAGGUUCAAUGAGAGAUAAAGCCAAGGAGGAAGAGCUUCGUAAAGGGGGGGAUCCCAAAUACGCCCAUCUCAACAUGGAUUUACACGUUUUCAUCGAGGUUUUCGGGCCCCCCUGCGAGGCCUACGCCCUCAUGGCCCACGCCAUGGAGGAGGUCAAGAAAUUCCUGGUCCCAGAUAUGAUGGAUGACAUCUGCCAGGAGCAGUUCCUGGAGCUCUCCUAUCUCAACGGGGUCCCGGAGCCCAACCGCGGCCGAGGCGUCCCCGGGCGGGGCCGGGGGGCAGCCCCACCUCCCCCUCCACCUGUUCCGAGGGGCCGUGGGGUUGGUCCUCCCCCUCCUCCUCCUCCUCCUCCCCCUCCUCGGGGUGCCCUGGUGCGAGGAGCCCCCGUGCGCGGGGCCAUGGCCCGGGGGGCCACGCUGGCCCGGGGGGUGCCCCCUCCCCCGGCAGUGCGCGGCACUCCUGCCCCCCGGGCACGGGCAGCUGGAAUCCAGAGGAUACCCCUGCCCCCUCCCCCCGUGCCAGAGACCUACGAGGAAUACGGCUACGAUGACACAUACGCAGACCAGAGCUACGAGGGAUACGAGGGCUACUACAGCCAGGGCCAAGGGGAUACAGAAUAUUAUGAUUAUGGACAUGGGGAGGCACAGGAAACCUAUGAAGCUUAUGGCCAAGAUGACUGGAAUGGAACCCGGCCCUCCCUGAAGGCCCCUCCAGCCAGGCCAGUUAAGGGGGGCUACAGAGAGCACCCCUACGGACGCUACUAAAACACAAAAAAUGAGGGAAAAAAUCCCCAUUUAGGAGCAAACAGUUGUAACUGGUUCUUGUAUCUCCCGGGAUUCCCGUUGCUUUACCCACAGCAGACAAGGAUUUGGCGCCGUGACUCAGCGGGGUGAGGAGGAGGAGGAGGAGCGGCACCAGCUGGGCACAGCUUUUAGGUCAAGUGGAAAAGAUUUGCUAGAGAUCAUCUCUUAGGAUGCAGUUUAUUCCCAAAUGGAUCUUGUGACUCUGCCUUUGGAAUAACCCAGCUCGUGCCUUGCUUUUUUGUGGGAUGUUGAUGGGAAGGAUUCAAAAGUUAUGGCAGGAUGGAAAUGUGAACAUUGAAAUAACUGGAUGUGCUGGGAGUGUUUUGCAAACAUUCCUUGGAUCAGACAGCUCCCUCCCUCUUUCCUUCCCUCUUCCAGCACUUUUCCAGGCAGAUUUUAGACCUGGAGCCUGCCAGAGCUCAUUUGAGAUCCCAAAUUAAGCCCUCAGCGUCGGAUGUGCCUGUCAGAGAUGCUUUAAUUAGCCAAACAUUCCAGGGGUGAUGCAGGGAUUUGGGAGGGAUGGAGAUUCCUGGGAGUCUGAGUCACCUCAGUAACCUGGAGAACCUUCCCUUUCCUGAUGGAAUUCUGCUCCCAAGUGCCAGGGAUCUUUUCCUCUCCCUGUUUUCCCAAAGGGCUCAUCCACAUCCUGUUAUUUGUGGGAUUUUGGGAAAGGCCCCAACCCAGAGAAAAGCCCCUGUUGUUCUUAGCUCUGUUCACAUCUUCUCUCUGGAAGUGUUUCCCAACAAAACCCUGGUUUUGUCAGGAGGAGCUUGGAUUGGGAACAUCCUCCUCCUCUGUGUCUCGGCAUUCCCAUCUUCCUUUUCCCUGAGUGGGAAAACCUCCAGCCUCCAGCACAGCCCUGGCUGUAAAACCUCAGCCCAGCCUUGCUUGGAGCUGGCACAAACCUGGGUUUUGUCCUUAGUGGGGAGUGAAUCCGAGGAAAACUCUCCAGCUGGAAUUCCAGAGGUAUCCCCAGCAGCUUUUCCUGGAAAUAGCCUCAUCCCCUGUUCCUUACCCCUGCUUUCCAUUUUCUGUUUGGAUUAUUUCAAUAAAGCGAGUGGCUCUGAGCUUUAUUCUAUGGAA